AUUCUCUUGCCACAAUUCCGGACGAAAAAAAUCAUAUUCUUUUCCAAUAAACCUCACACAACAACACGUUUUCAUCAGUCAAGAUUUUGUAUUAUGUACCCAUGAAAGCUAUACAUCGUAUCAACAAAAAAAGUUCUCUACACGCUUUGAUUUGCUUCUACUUACAAAUCUUUGUCUUCUUUUUGGCUUAUCACCAUUUUUCUCUGUACACUUAUGUUAUAUGAACAAGAAGUACUUCUCUAUCUACUCUCCUAAUCUUCUUCUCUUCUCUGUGUUCUAUAAGAAUCCUAAAGGCCCAUCCAGCAUGAACUUCCGUUAGUGUUGUGAAUUGGUGAGAGUGUAGGCAAAGACACAGCCAUUCGUACUAAACCUGCCCACGAAAAUGUAUACAACACACAUAAGUAUGAGUCGAUGUUGUUAAGGACUCAUUCUUUCUUUGGACUAAUCUACCUUUGUGGAAUCGCUACAUCUCCAGAAAUGUGCUUCUAUGGGAGACUUAGGGUGAACUUCAACAGGAUUCAUUAAUGGGAAAAAGAGUGGAAACAGACAUUGAAAGAUUCUUUUAGCUAACUGUUUUUUAUUAACACGUUCGUGUUUUCAUA